rnacentral:rRNA from 1 species
CCUACGGGUGGCUGCAGUAAGGAAUAUUGGUCAAUGGAGGAAACUCUGAACCAGCCAUCCCGCGUGAAGGAUGAAGGGGCUCUGCCUUGUAAACUUCUUUUGUCUGGGGCGAAAAAGCUCGAUUUAUCGAGAACUGACGGUACCAGAAGAAUAAGCACCGGCUCACUCCGUUCCAGCAGCCGCGGUAAUACGGAGGGUGCCAGCGUUAUCCGGAAUAACGGGUUCGUAGGCGUGCUUGUAAGUCUGAGGUGAAAGGCUGUGGCUUAACCAUGGAAUUGCCAUUGAUACUGCAGAGCUUGAAUGAGGUUGAGGUUGGCGGAAUGUGACAUGUAGCGGUGAAAUGCUUAGAUAUGUCAUGGAACACCGAUUGCGAAGGCAGCUGACUGGACCUAUAUUGACGCUGAGGCACGAAAGCGUGGGGAGCGAACAGGAUUAGAUACCCUGGUAGUC